GCCGGGGUAGCAUAGCUUGGCUAAUGCGCUGGACUCAUGAUCCAGAGGUUGUAGGCACCAGUGCCUUAGCCGGAUAGAGACCAUGGGUUCAAUUCCCAUUCCCGGCA
rnacentral:tRNA from 1 species